rnacentral:lncRNA from 1 species
UUUGCGGUUUUGGGUUUGCACUUCUCUUCGACUCCCGACUGCUUCUGCGCCUUGCAUCUCUGCCUUUGCCUCUGCAAUCUGCAUCUCUGCCUUUGCCUUUGCGACUGCGACUGCCUGCUUGCAUCUCUGCCUCUGUGACUGUGACCUCACUGAGUCACUGCUUGCCUUGCAUCCCCAGAUCCCCUUCAUCUGCAAGCCCUAAUCUCUGCAAAUCAAAAGCUCUGCAAAACAGACUUGGCAAAUCAUUCACAUGCUCUUCGUUCCAGCUAAUAUGGUAAAAACUUAGAACUUGUAUUACUUAGAACUAGUAUCAUUCAUCAAUUUAAUCUGUUUUUAUGUUGAUCUAUAUAUAUAGCUAGUUUUGAGAUAUUAGAUUAAGCAACUGUUUAGCUGAGGGCGUUGUAUUUAGUAUUACAUUUGCAUAAUCUCCUUAUGGUUUACAUAUUAUUUUUCAUUUUGUUUCAAUCUAUUUUAUCAGUUUUGGACCUUUCAAUUUGUUUUCAGGUGAUUCCUCUCUCAUGGAUUAUUUUUUGUGGAUUUUCAUAUGCAAAUUAUGCUAAAAUUAUGAUGUAAUGUUCUUUAGAUCUCUGUUAAUGUUUUCGUUUGCAAACACGGUCGGUUCUCGGUUGCGAAAGACAAUAUUUCUUUUUGUGUUUUAGAAUGAAAUAGAAUACGCUUUGUGUCAAUUUUAUGAUCUGAGUUACUUGUCGAACUAGGUUAUUUCGGGUUUGAUGUGUUUGAAUUUGUUCUGGGAGCAUUCGAGUAGUUAGAAACUGAAACCCCUAAGUUAAUGAGAAACCAUGUAGUCCUUUUAUUUGGUUUGUCAUGGAUGUGUUCUUUGUCUUCUGCAAACAUCUUAUUGUUUCUGGUUAUGUUUUUAUUUGCUCAAGCUUGCUUGAUUUGGCUGCUUAUAG